rnacentral:rRNA from 1 species
ACAGAGGCGGCAAGCGUUGUUCGGAAUUAUUGGGCGUAAAGAGCACGUAGGCGGCCCUACAAGUCAGCUGUGAAAUCCUUCUGCUCAACCGCAGAACUGCAUCUGAAACUGGGCGGCUAGAGGAUGGAAGAGGGCAGUGGAAUUCCUGGUGUAGCGGUGAAAUGCGUAGAUAUCACACGGAACGCCGGUGGUGAAAACGGGUCACUGGGCCUGUCCUGACGCUGAGACGCGAGAGCGUGGGGAGCAAACAG